rnacentral:rRNA from 1 species
GAAGCCCUUCGGGGUGUAAAGCUCUGUCGGCAGGGACGAUAAUGACGGUACCUGAAGAAGAAGCUGCGGCUAACUACGUGCCAGCAGCCGCGGUAAUACGUAGGCGGCGAGCGUUGUUCGGAAUUACUGGGCGUAAAGGGUGUGUAGGCGGUGCUCUAAGUUCGGUGUGAAAUCUCCCGGCUUAACUGGGAGGGUGCGCCGGAAACUGGAGUGCUCGAGCGUGGGAGAGGAAAGCGGAAUUCCUGGUGUAGCGGUGAAAUGCGUAGAUAUCAGGAGGAACACCUGUGGUGUAGACGGCUUUCUGGACCAUUGCUGACGCUGAGACACGAAAGCGUGGGUAGCAAACAGGAUUAGAUACCCUGGUAGUCCACGCCCUAAACGAUGCAUACUUGGUGUCGGCCAUUCAGUUGGUCGGUGCCGGAGCUAACGCGUUAAGUAUGCCGCCUGGGGAGUACGGUCGCAAGGCUGAAACUCAAAG